CCUUGCGCUAUCAGAUGAGCCUAGGUCGGAUUAGCUAGUUGGUGAGGUAAUGGCUCACCAAGGCGACGAUCCGUAACUGGUCUGAGAGGAUGAUCAGUCACACUGGAACUGAGACACGGUCCAGACUCCUACGGGAGGCAGCAGUGGGGAAUAUUGGACAAUGGGCGAAAGCCUGAUCCAGCCAUGCCGCGUGUGUGAAGAAGGUCUUCGGAUUGUAAAGCACUUUAAGUUGGGAGGAAGGGCAGUUACCUAAUACGUGAUUGUUUUGACGUUACCGACAGAAUAAGCACCGGCUAACUCUGUGCCAGCAGCCGCGGUAAUACAGAGGGUGCAAGCGUUAAUCGGAAUUACUGGGCGUAAAGCGCGCGUAGGUGGUUUGUUAAGUUGAAUGUGAAAUUGCAAGCCCCGGGCUCAACC
rnacentral:rRNA from 1 species